GUUGGUUGAAAAUCACCUGCGACCUUGACCAAGGCCAUGGCUAUGGGUGAGAUUCAGGGCCUAGAGCCACGUGGGGCCUCAGCUCACUGUCCACUCGAUGUGAAGAGGUGAAACCCAGGCCCCGACACGU